UUGGGUAUUUGCCUACUUUUGAAUUUGAUAAAUAUUAUUACUUUAUUAUAAUCUAGGAUAAAAAUAAUGUCGUAGGCUGAAAAAAUAUUAAAAUCCAACAAAGAUUUAUAAAGUUACAGGCAUUUUAAUAUUGGAGUGGGAGGGUCUUCUAUCUCUUUCUCGCAAAACGAAUAUUUGUACGAAACCGCACGAAGCUACUAUGGCAUUUAUCAAAAU